CUCGAAAAAGUGUUUUGAAUGGAUGAAGCAUGUCAAGUAAUGUCCAAUCUCUGAGACUUUGAUAAGCAUAUUUUAUUAUGUCAUGCGAAGAAAAAGAAGGAAGAAGAAAAAGGACAUUCGAUGGAGAGAGGAGGUGGCUGAAGAUUAGCAAAGCGAAAGGAUGCGUGACAUCGAAAUCGAGUUUCGAAUUAUUUUAAAUCAGAGUGGAACAUUUGAAGUGUUCAGUUGAUAGUUGAACAAAUAAAUGGCACUAAAGUGAAGCUUCCACUGAAGAACUGAUUGCCAGAUUCUGUCUGUCUGACGAAGAGUCGCAAAUUUGUUGCCCGGAAUCCGAGUGGCUUUAAGCAGGAAAGUGGACAAUUGAGUGAAGAGUGUGUGUGUGUGUGGACAGAUGUCUGGGAACAGAAAGCGCGAAGUCUGAACUCGGCUCAAUAAUUGCAAACUACUGAAGCAUUUAAUAUUUUGAGUGCAUUUCCGCGUUACGCGUUUGGCAGAGGGAAAAUCAACGAACCAACAACAGCAACAGCAACAUCGGAAAAUCGAAAGUCUCAGCCUGGAGCCUGGACACAGUUGCUGUCUCUCUCUCUCUCUGGCUUGGCGUAAAGUUAAUAAAGCGCCCCCUGCAGGCAACAAACAAUUUGUCCAGAAGUUCAACUCGAGGCAAAGAGGGAAGCUCAACGGACUGCGAACUUGAAAUUCUAAUUGGCAUUUUAUGCCGCAGCCAAUGCAAUGGAAGGAGGGGUGAAGAGGAGGAGGAGAAAAGGGAGCAGGACACAGUGUGUUGGCUGUCGAACAGCUCGGUUGAGGAACACUUCCAUGGAUGGGAGGAGACGAGGAGGAGGAGGGAGGGUGGAGGAGCGAACCGUUGAUGAUGCCAGGCAAUGGGCAACGUUUUGCAUUUUGCGGGCGAUAUCAUGUUGGAUUAAAAGCGCGUCGUGCCCUUCGUUGCAAAUUAAUUUCGUGUACAUGUCCUGCAGCCUUUUGCAAGUUUAUGCGCCUGCAUCCAUCCAUCCACAUGUGUCUGCCUCACUCUCCCUCUCUCUCUCUCGCUCUCUGGGCACAUAUCGAGUUACCCAGCCAGGCUACGAACCUGUCCAUCACUUGACCCCUUUUGUGAUGUCCUGAUGUCCAGGACAACCGCAAAUGUUAAAGCGGCGUGACUUUAUUUGAUUGUGUCUGCGUUGAGUUGAGAGUCGAGAGUUGAGAGUGCGCUGGCAUUUUUCGGUUUUUCGGGUUUCGCCUUGUUUUUAGAUCCGCUCGGAAAUUAUACAAAAACAGUAGAUACAUUUUAACAUAACACCGCAUUGUUGUCUAAAUUGAAUUUAAAACCCUUUCCCUUUUUUGGCACCGUUUCUAUUUUUAUUUAGUCAGUGUUUCCGUGUUAAUGAAUGUGAUCAGAGAAAGCCAACAUAAAUACUUCAUUAACUUGC